UUUCCCUUUUCUCUGGUGACUUUUCCUUUUCCUUCAUCCUCCUCUCUUUCUUCUAUUGUUCCUCCUAUGGAUCUCUCCUCUGAUCCUAUUCAUGUUCCUUCAUUUUUGGAUUCUCCUCCUGCUUCUCCACUUUCUUCUUCCUUUUCUUCUCAUAGUCCUACUUCUUCCUCCUCUAUGCAUCCUCCUCAUAGUCCUUUUUUUCUCCUUCUCCUACUUCUCAUUCUUACUCUUCUCCCUUAUCCCCCGUUCCCCCUCCUCCUAUUGUAUUGCGCAGAUCACUGAGAGACUAUAAAACCCAUGUUUAUCUCUCAAAUUUCAUAUGCAACGCUCUUCAUCUCACUGAUGUUUCUUCUCCAUGUUUAUUCUCUCCUAUAUCCCAUACUCCACUUCUUUUUUGUGCUUUUUC
rnacentral:lncRNA from 1 species